rnacentral:rRNA from 2 species
ACGGGAGGCAGCAGUGGGGAAUUUUGCGCAAUGGGCGAAAGCCUGACGCAGCAACGCCGCGUGCGGGACGAAGGCCUUCGGGUUGUAAACCGCUUUCAGCAGGGAAGACGAUGACGGUACCUGCAGAAGAAGCUCCGGCUAACUACGUGCCAGCAGCCGCGGUAAUACGUAGGGAGCGAGCGUUAUCCGGAUUCAUUGGGCGUAAAGCGCGCGUAGGCGGCUUGGCAAGCGAGGAGUCAAAGCCCGGGGCUCAACCCCGGCCCGCUCCUCGAACUGCCAGGCUUGAGUCUGGUAGGGGAAAGUGGAAUACCCAGUGUAGCGGUGGAAUGCGCAGAUAUUGGGUAGAACACCAGUGGCGAAGGCGGCUUUCUGGGCCACGACUGACGCUGAGACGCGAAAGCUAGGGGAGCGAACAGGAUUAGAUACCCUGGUA